GGUCGCUUAGCUCAGUUGGUUAGAGCGUGGUGCUAAUACCAUAUAUGGUACGCAACGCCAAGGUCGCGAGUUCGACCCUCGUAGUGACCA
rnacentral:tRNA from 2 species